UUAUUAAUACCCCCAAAAACACCCAAUAUUAAUUAAACAAACCAUUUUUCCCCCCAAGUAUGGGCGACAGAAAAGGAACAUUUAGAGCUAUAGAAAAAGUACCGCAAGGGAAUGCUGAAAAAGAAGUGAAACAACUCAGUAAAGUUUAAAAAAGCAAAGAUUCACCCUUGUACCUUUUGCAUCAUGAUUUAGUCAGUAAAAACAAGCAAAAGGCACUUUAGUUUGAUUUCCCGAAACUAAGUGAGCUACUCCAAGACAGCCUAAAAUAGGGCCAACCCGUCUCUGUGGCAAAAGAGUGGGAUGAGCUUAGAGUAGAGGUGAUAAGCCUACCGAACUUAGUUAUAGCUGGUUGCCUGAGAAAUGAAUAGAAGUUCAGCUUUUUGGUUUCUCCCCCCAACCUGCUUAGCUAUGACGAACCAAAGAAGCCAAAAAAGUUAAUUAAAGGGGGUACAGCUCCUUUAAACAAGAUACAACUUCACCAGCCGGGUAAAGGUCAUAUACAAUUAAGGUAGAAUGUUUUAGUGGGCCCAAAAGCAGCCACCUAUAAGAAAGCGUCAAAGCUCCUUCAUACCACCCCCCCCCCUCCAAAUUCAGAUAAUAUAUCCUAAACCCGCUAAUUUUAUCAAGCCGCCCUAUGCUACCAUAGGAGCGAUUAUGCUAAAAUGAGUAAUAAGAAAAGCCACCUUUUCUCCUUGCACUCGUGUAAAUCGAAACGGACCCCCCAUCGAUCAUUAAUCGGCCCCAAAAAAAGAGGGUAAUGAACUAUCAACCCCAAUAACAAGAAAAACACCCAAAUAUCAACCGUUAACCUCACACUAGUACGCUCACAAGGAAAGACUAAAAGAAAAAGAAGGAACUCGGCAAAUACAAGCCUCGCCUGUUUACCAAAAACAUCGCCUCUUGAAAACUAAGUAUAAGAGGUCC
rnacentral:rRNA from 1 species